UAGUGUCGGGGAGUCGCUGCGCCGCGGCGGCGGGCUCCAUUGCAGUGGGGCUUCGCGUUUCCCCCCCAGCUCCGGAGGCAGCGGACAGAAAGGGAGGAGGUGAGGCGAAGGUGGGAGACGGCGGCGGCGCGCCGACCAGGGAGAAGCCAAUGGCGUUCGGCGCCGCCGUUCCAAGGGAUUAUGUGGCAAUUCGGAGCAUUCCGUCGGUGUCUCGGUGUUCCAUCCCGCGCUCCCGCCUCGCCACCACCGCCCCCCCCACACGCGCCCUCCCCGCCCGGGUCGCGGGCUCCCUAGCGCCAGGCCCCGCCCGCUCCCCCUCGAGCCAGCCGCGGAGCCCGGCUCAUUGAAUAUUAAUCAAGCGCUGGGAGCGGGAAGGCUAGAGGCGGGAAGGGCGGGGGCUCCGCGCGGACCUCAUGAAUAUGCAUCGCUAGCAUGACGGCAUUCCUGGGAGCUUCAGGGAUGGCGGGGAGGCGGGGCUUCAGGGUAAACAAACGUGAGGCGUGCGUGCGAGGGCGGGGCGGAGCUUUCCCGGGAGGUUCCUGGGCAGGCUCGGAGCGGACAGCGCCGAGGGGCGCGCGGUGCACCUCGGGAGUUGUGUUCUCACUGGGGUCCUGCAUGCGGGAGGGAAACUGGGCGAACUACAAGCCCCAGCGGUCCGUGGGCUCUGCCCCUCCUCGGGGCCCUCAGUCCGCCUGGACCAGCGGGUACUGUGCCCUCUGCUGUUGAACUCUGUGCCAGGAACGUUCACUUGGAUCUCACUCGCUCACUACUCGCCGGGUGACUGAUUUUCCCCGCUCGUUGGGAGCCAGGACUUUCAGGGCCCCUAACCGGGAAAAAUGGCAAAGGAAUGUGCUCUCGUUUCCCACGGAUCUCGAAGUUUGGAGUAACUUAGUGACACAGAAAACAGUAGAAAGUGGAAGGAACGUUGGAACAGAGACGUAGUUAGAUUCGGGAUGGGCUGUUCUUGUAUGCUUCCUCUUAAUGUCUUACCUUUUUUUUUUUCUUUCUUUCAGCAUUGAAGGAGGGAAAAUAUUAUUUUCUACUGCUACAAUGUUUAGUUGUGGUCUGGGUGGGGAGUGUUUUUGUUAUUGUUUGAUCUAUUGAUAUUGUCGGCUAGAUAGGGCAGUUUGCUAUUUAAAAUAAUUUAGUAAGUCUUUUAAAUUGAAUUACGACUCUGCCUGAGAAUACUGUACAAAUCUGGAUUUUCAUAUGUGAGACUUUUCAAUAGUUAUAACGACCUAUACCAUACAGGUCCUGCCUUAACUUCAAUAAGAUUAUUAAACUUGAGGUUGAGGAGAGAAAGAGAUAUCAGCUGGAGCUGUAGCAAGGAAAAUUGUAUUUAAAUUAUCCACACAAAGGAAUGGAGAGAGCUGCAGGACAAAAAAAUAAACAUUUUUCAAUGAUUCUUGAAA